rnacentral:rRNA from 1 species
GUGAGUAGUUCAGAGUUUGAUCCUGGCUCAGGAUGAACGCUGGCGGCGUGCUUAACACAUGCAAGUCGAACGGAGCUAUUUGAAAGCUUGCUUUUGAAUAACUUAGUGGCGGACGGGUGAGUAACGCGUGGGUGACCUGCCUUAUACUGGGGGAUAACACUUAGAAAUAGGUGCUAAUACCGCAUAAGCGCGCAGUUCUGCAUGGAACAGUGUGAAAAACUCCGGUGGUAUAAGAUGGACCCGCGUCUGAUUAGCUGGUUGGUGAGGUAACGGCUCACCAAGGCGACGAUCAGUAGCCGGCCUGAGAGGGUGAACGGCCACAUUGGGACUGAGACACGGCCCAA